rnacentral:rRNA from 1 species
AUGGAGAUGGAGCUAAGCCUAGGCGUAGCCACGUCCCUGUUUUUGCUUUCUGUCAUCUCAGUGGUGGCCUUAAGCUUGCUUAGCCGCAAAAGACUGGCAGCAGCAAGUGGCAAGAAGAAGAAGAAGCUUGGGCGGCCUGCUCCUGGGCCAUGGCGUCUACCCUUGGUGGGCAACCUCCACCAGAUCGUAACGUCCAAGCUGCCGGUGGUCCUCCGGGACCUGGCGGAGAAGCACGGGCCGGUGAUGUGCCUCCGGCUCGGGCAGGUGGACACGAUCAUCAUCUCCUCCCCGUCGGCGGCGCAGGAGGUGCUCCGGGAGAAGGACCUCAACUUCGCGUCGCGGCCGAGCCUGCUGGUGUCGGAGGUGAUGCUGUACGGGAACCUCGACAUCGGGUUCGCGCCGUACGGCGCGUACUGGCGGACGCUGCGCAAGCUGUGCAGGAUGGAGCUCUUGAGCGAGCGGAAGGUGCGGCAUUUCAUGCCCGUGAGGGAGAGCGAGACCCUGGCGCUGGUGAGGGCCGUGCACGAGGCGGGCCAGGGCGGCAAGAGGCCCGUCAACCUCGCACUGCUGCUCGUCUCCUGCUCCAACGCGAUCACCGAGCAGACGGCCUUCGGGCAGGUCGCCGGGCGCGAGCUCCAGGAGCAGUUGCUGGCGGCCAUUAACGUUGGCAUGACGAUCAGCAGCGGGUUCAGCUUCGGGGACCUCUUCCCGGGGCUGGGGUUCAUGGACACCGUCACCGGGCUUACACGCCGGCUGUGGCAGGCGCGCCGUCAGAUGGACGCCGUGCUUGACAAGAUCAUCGCUAAAAGCGACCAGAAAGGUGAUGACCUUCUGAGUGUCAUGCUUAGGAUCAGGGACGGGGGAGACCCUGAAUUCCCCAUCGAAACCACAACCAUUAAAGCAAUCAUAGUGGAUAUGUUCUCGGGAGGGACUGACACCACAGCGACGGCGGCUGAGUGGGUCAUGUCAGAGCUCGUGAGGAACCCGCCGGCGAUGGCCAAGGUACAGGCAGAGGUGCGGCGAACAUUCAACGGCAAGACCCCACAAGAGCACGAGGGGCACAUACAUGAGCUACACUACAUGAGGAUGGUCAUCAAGGAGAGCAUGAGGCUAAACCCGGUGCUGCCGCUGCUGGUCCCCCGAAUCUGCCGGGAGACCUGCCAUGUCGGGGGUUUUGAGAUCGUCGAGGGUUCCAGGCUCAUGGUCAACUCAUGGGCUAUCGGUAGGAGCCCAGAGAGUUGGGACGAUCCUGAUGAGUUCAGGCCAGAGAGGUUCGAGGACAGUAUGGCUGAUGACAAAGGACCCAGGUUCGACUACCUUCCAUUCGGAGGUGGGCGGAGAAUGUGCCCCGGCAGUACCUUUGGGUUGGCCGUGCUGGAGCUAAUCAUGGCACGCCUUCUCUACUACUUUGAUUGGAGCCUCCCAACCGGUGGGACUGAGCUUGACAUGGACAUGACCGUGGGCAUAACGGCGAGGAGAAAGAACCAGUUGCACGUAGUGGCAUUGCCGUAUAAGGAGGUUCCACUGCAAAGCUGA